AACAUGCAUUAAUUCUGUUUGCAAAAAUUUGCAUUUUUUUUCUGCUCAUUCAUGCAGUGGGCUGAGGGGCAGCAUUUGUGCCAGAACUGUAGAAAGGAAUACAACCAUUUGUUUGAACUCAAGGAGUUUAGACUUUUAGAUGGGAGCGACCUAUAAAUGAACAGAAAAGCGUUCUAGGUACUUAAUCAGUGACUUUUUCCACUGAAAAGGAGGACAAGGGGCCUUGUUUGUUUUACUGGCUGCUGUUGUCUAAUUCCUAGUGGCACUCAGUAUUUCUUAAGUGAAUGACUAAAUGCUAAGAUCGUUAUACAGAGGGAGCUAAGGGAGCCCCCAUAAUAGGGGCCUCUGCCUAGUUUUAUGUGUGGCUGGAGCGUGGGAUGUCCCUUCAGAGAUAUCACCAAAAAAUUCCUGGAAGAUGGCCUAUGCAGUGAGUCCCGGGAAAUAAAGGAAAUGAGGUAAAAGUGGCCUUGGGGGUUGCUUGGGAGUUCCCACGUGACGUUGAGGAACUUCUGGGAACAGGUUUGGGAUGCCAAGAAUACACCCGUGCGCAGAGGGAAGGGCCUUGGAGACAUUUCCACUUUAGUUUCUAUAACAGUAUGCUGACCUGUUAACAACGUGUCCUCUAUUCCUGCUCCACUGGUCACUCCGGGAUGCAUCUGUUUGUCACCCCGCUGCUCAGCAUGAUGGCGGGGAUGGAGCAGCUCCUCCGGGUUAAGGCGGGGAUGAAUGAACGAACGAACGAAUGCAGAACUGCCGUGGGAGCACCGUGCCAAGACGGCGGCUUCUGGACGGCAGGGAAGUUCGGGCACCCAUACAAGCUGUGCAGAGACUUAGAGGCUUAACUCGUGGUCUGAUGCGCAAUAGGGGAAGGCUCCAGGCUGGGGAACUACGCGGUGCCGGGCGUAGCAGGGACAGGAGCACACCGUCGGGUUGCACUUGAGCCGGCUCAGAAACGAGCGACAGCAAAGCGCAGAGGAGGGGCUGCGGCCCGGGACUCCGCGUUCGGCGCGGGAGAGGCGGCCCGGUGACCUCCAGCGCU
rnacentral:lncRNA from 1 species